AUCUUCCGCAAUGGACGAAAGUCUGACGGAGCAACGCCGCGUGAGUGAUGAAGGUUUUCGGAUCGUAAAACUCUGUUGUUAGGGAAGAACAAGUACCGUUCGAAUAGGGCGGUACCUUGACGGUACCUAACCAGAAAGCCACGGCUAACUACGUGCCAGCAGCCGCGGUAAUACGUAGGUGGCAAGCGUGGUCCGGAAUCAUUGGGCGUAAAGCGCGCGCAGGCGGGUUCUUAAGUCUGAUGUGAAAGCCCACGGCUCAACCGGGGAGGGGCAUUGGAAACUGGGGAACUUGAGUGCAGAAGAGGAGAGUGGAAUUCCACGUGUAGCGGUGAAAUGAGUAGAGAUGUGGAGGAACACCAGUGGCGAAGGCGACUCUCUGGUCUGUAACUGACGCUGAGGCGCGAAAGCGUGGGGAGCGAACAG
rnacentral:rRNA from 1 species